GAAGGAACGCUGGCGGCAUGCCUAACACAUGCAAGUCGAACGAGACCUUCGGGUCUAGUGGCGCACGGGUGCGUAACGCGUGGGAACCUGCCCUUAGGUUCGGAAUAACUCCCCGAAAGGGGUGCUAAUACCGGAUAAUGUCUUCGGACCAAAGAUUUAUCGCCUUUGGAUGGGCCCGCGUUGGAUUAGCUAGUUGGUAGGGUAAAAGCCUACCAAGGCGACGAUCCAUAGCUGGUCUGAGAGGAUGAUCAGCCACACUGGGACUGAGACACGGCCCAGACUCCUACGGGAGGCAGCAGUGGGGAAUAUUGGACAAUGGGCGAAAGCCUGAUCCAGCAAUGCCGCGUGAGUGAUGAAGGCCUUAGGGUUGUAAAGCUCUUUUACCCGGGAUGAUAAUGACAGUACCGGGAGAAUAAGCUCCGGCUAACUCCGUG
rnacentral:rRNA from 1 species